ACUGACUGACACAGUGACCUGACUGACCGACUGACUAUCCUGACAGACUGACUGACACAGUGACCUGACUGACCGACUGACUAUCCUGACAGACUGACUGACUGACCAAAUACACUGACUAACACAGUGACCUGACAGACUGACUGACACAGUGACCUGACUGACUGACUAUCCUGACAGACUGACAGACUGACUGACACAGUGACCUGACAGACUGACUGACUGACUAUCUAUCCUGAC